rnacentral:rRNA from 1 species
GAACCGUACGAACGUUAUUCGGGAAUCACUGGGGCUUAAAGGGUGCGCAGGCGGCCUGGCAAGUUGGGGUGUGAAAUCCCUCGGGCUCAACCGAGGAACUGCGCCCAAAACUGCCAGACUUGAGGAAGACAGAGGUGAGCGGAACUCAGGGUGGAGCGGUGAAAUGCGUUGAUAUCCUGGGGAACACCAGUAGCGAAGGCGGCUCACUGGGUCUUUCCUGACGCUCAGGCACGAAAGCUAGGGGAGCGAACGGGAUUGGAUACCCCGGUAGUCCUAGCUGUAAACGAUGAGCACUGGGUUGGAGGGUCCUCCAUAGCUUUCCAGCCGUAGCGAAAGUGUUAAGUGCUCCGCCUGGGGAGUAUGGUCGCAAAGGCUG